rnacentral:rRNA from 1 species
AGCAGCCGCGGUAAUUCCAGCUCCAAUAGCGUAUAUUAAAGUUGUUGCAGUUAAAAAGCUCGUAGUUGAAUUUCGGGGUCAGUAGGCUGGUCGUGCCACUGGUAUGCACUGGUCUCACUGAUUCCUCCUUCCUGAUGAACCGUAAUGCCAUUAAUUUGGUGUUGCGGGGAAUCUGGACUGUUACUUUGAAAAAAUUAGAGUGUUUAAAGCAGGCUAACGCUUGAAUACAUUAGCAUGGAAUAAUGAAAUAGGACGAUCGAUCCUAUUUUGUUGGUUUCUAGGAUUGACGUAAUGAUUAAUAGGGAUAGUUGGGGGCAUUAGUAUUCAAUUGUCAGAGGUGAAAUUCUUGGAUUUAUUGAAGACUAACUACUGCGAAAGCAUUUGCCAAGGAUGUUUUCAUUAAUCAAGAACGAAAGUUAGGGGAUCGAAGACGAUCAGAUACCGUCGUAGUCUUAAC